CGCCGCCGCCGUCAUCUCCCUUCACAGGCACGUCUCUGUCUUCACUCGAUUUCCUUGAUCCCCUUUUCGCACGUUGCCUCCUCCCAUUCCUUCCCCCCUUACUCGCACGCAGGUGGCCGCAGGAGAGGCGUGGCAGAGGAGGCUCGUUCAGGGGGUGGUGGUGGUGGGAGUGGGGAGUAAGAAAGAGCACGGAGGCGGCGGCGGCAGCGGCGGCGGCUAGGAAGAGCGUGUGCGUGACCGACGCAGGAGGCUUCAUCGCCUCGUGGCUCAUCAAGCUCCUCCUCUCCAAGGGCCUCUAAAUGGUCCGCGACACCGUGCGAGAUCCCGGUAAGGACCCUCCUCACUUCGAUCCGUCCAUCCCAGCCCCCGAAGAUCCAACCUCAGCUCAUGCUCGCACUGCUCCCGCCCCACGAUGAUGUCUGCGUCGAACUGAAAGCCCACGGAGGACGGGGACGAGGUCGGGGUGGAGAUGUGGAUCGUUUUCUUUAGAUCCCCAACUAAAGAGUUUGAAGUUGUUUCUGCAGAGAACCUAGAUGUCAAUGAAUGUGCGCAGAGUCCAGGCUCCUGCCAUGGCUCUGCAACUUGCCACAACACAGUUGGAGGGUUCCAUUGUUCAUGCCCUUUUGUCACCAGUUUUGCUAAGGAAACAAACUCAUGCGCCAAUCGGUUUAUAAGUCAGGAGUUGAGCAGGGCACAAUCUGUGGCACGACCGCAUUCUCCUACUCAUUUGUCUCAAAGCAAAAGAAGCUCGCUGCCUUUGCCUGGAGAGAGCAGAAGUUUCUUUUAUCUAAUCCAAGAUGAUCUAUUCAUGAUUAAAACAGCGAGGAAAUCAGAAGUCGAGGUAAUUUUCUUAUUGAUGCCACUGUGAUGAGCUCUACUCUCUACUGUCGGCAUAAAGUAGGACAACAUUUUAUUUGGAGGUUAUAUCACUUGUGAAAUAAUUUGUAGUGUUGUUUGGAUUGCAUCCUGUAAAUGCCAUUAAAUAUUCUUUCCCAUCAUGUUGGCCUAUUUGAACUAAUAUUCUUGAGUCUCAUCAACUCUGAAUAUGGUGUAUGGUGUACUCACAUCCCUGCCAUUUGGGAACUAAAUGAAAUAGUUAUUAGUCUUGGACUCUUGGUAGUGCUUAGGGCCUGAAAUCAGAUAAAUUAUAUGGACCGAAGCGAACACAAUGUAUUUUAAUGCAAUUGUUCCUUUUACAGGCCAGUAAACAAAAUCAAGAUUAGAACGCAACGAAUGGAUCGGUUUAUGGUUACAAGUGACAAAAUUACCUACUAUAAUUCUUGCAAUCACGGUGUUGCUACUCAUUGUCAUAGGACGCAGUAGAAUCAAACACUCCUUCUGGUUUCCUCAUUUAGUUUAGAAAGUACUCCCUCUGUAAACUUGUACACCUAAAACGUCUUAUAAAAGUUUGCAGAGGGAGUAGUAUUUAUCUAAAGUUUAUUUUUCCAUUGAAAUGUGCAAUUUUACACAUUCCAGUGCAAGGGCUGGAUGUCCUUAUAAAGCUUUUUAAUGGGUUGAGGUAAGUGCGGGAUGGAUGAAAUUGCUCAGUACCAUCUAAUCUGGCAAUCUGGAUUAUGAUCGGUUCAACUAUUUUGUGGUUCCACUUCUACUAAUUGAAGCCGGCGAGUUGGUGUAUGCUUGAAGUGAGUCUGGUUCUUGCUUCAAUUCCCCCUGUUUCACCUCCAGAUCUACUCAUCGGGAGAUGGAUUCCUUGCAUUGAGAGGCUGGUGUGACGCUGUUGUUGAUAAUCAUCCAUACCUAUGCUGGACGUGGACGAAGUACACACAUGUACACGCAGCUUUUUUUUGAUCCGUUGCAUAUCAAAGCUUCAUUCAGACGAUGGACUGUCUUGCUCUACUUCGAAAUCGAAACAGGGGAAAGACAGGCGGCUGCUGCAGAACAAGGGAAGGAGUAGCAGCUAUCUGCUGUUUCAGUUGUUUAUGUGCGCUGAAGAUUGUUCGCACCCGUACCCUGAAGAAAGAAGGCAAAAUAAUCCAUAACUAUUUCUUGAUAAUAAAGUACAUAAGACAUAGAUAUAUAGCUCAUUGGCUCCAUCACGUUAGUUUGCUAAAUAAGUUAUAUGGAUCCUUGCAGACACAAGAUAGAUUCUAGAUAUACCUGGGAUAUGUUCAUCCGGGUUCAGUUAAUAAGUGCAUUAGUCAACAUUGUGGUGCAAUGACAGAAUCUGUUGUCCACAACUUCACCUGCCAUAUCCUUAAGGGUCUUGAUUUCCUAUAGAGCCAAAAAAGUAUGCAUAGGUAAUGUUUCUUUUUCGUUGUUCGUUUUUUAUCUGAUAAUGAUUUUCCGUUCACUGCUUCCUUACUUUCUGAACCUAACCUUUUUGUUUUGUUUUUUGCGUUAUCUCUUAUUUUUUUUCUUAUACAAAUUCUCAGAUUGCUUUGUUCUAUUUAGACCAUACAAAUGGUUAAGAACUCAUUAUCUCUUAUUUUUCUCUUAUACAAAUUGUCUGAUUUCUUUGUCCUAUUUAGACCAUUCAAAUGGUUAAGAACUCAUUAAGUACUUUCCUUUUGUAUGAUGUAGAUGCCAAUAAUUCGCUCUUCAGUUUUGUAGCGAAAAUAGUACCCGAAGUUUAUAGAUCUUUAUUCCUUCUUGUCGAUGAGACGAGGACUGAUUUCUACACAUAUAUUUACUGCAGAUCUGGAAAUAGGUUUAAAGGAAAGAUUUAGAAGGUGAAGGAGCUGAUAAAGAGCAUGCUAAAUUCUCACUGUCUUAAUCAUUUUUGGUGUACAAUGCAAUUCAUGUAUAGGUUUGGUGCUUUGUGCUGACAAGAAUUCUCUGAUUGGCAUCAUUUGCAGUAACUGUGGUGAUCCAGGACGCUUUCAAGAUUACAAGUUCAGUAGUGGCAACUUGAACUUAUGUAAGAAUAAACAGGAUGAUUUUUCAUUCUGAAGAGUUUCCUUACUGUUGACUUUAAGCCUUCAUAGUUACAUCGUGGGAUUAUGAAUAAGAUGGUGCUAAUUAUAUUUUGAGUGAAUUUCUGUGUGUAUUAUUCAGACUAGCCCUUGAACUAAAUAAAGAGAAGUCAAAGAUAGCAUGCAGUUGCA